rnacentral:rRNA from 1 species
GGAGGGUGCAAGCGUUAAUCGGAUUUAUUGGGSGUAAAGGGGGCGCAGGCGGGAAGAUAAGUCAGAUGUGAAAGCCCAGGGCUCAACCUUGGAACAGCAUUUGAAACUAUUUUUCUUGAGGAUAGGCGGAGAAAACGGAAUUCCACAAGUAGCGGUGAAAUGCGUAGAUAUGUGGAAGAACACCCGUGGCGAAAGCGGUUUUCUAGCUUAUACCUGACGCUGAGGCCCGAAAGCUAGGGGAGCAAACAGGAUUAGAUACCCUGGUAGUCCUAGCCGUAAACGAUGUGUACUUGGUGUAACUGAACUCAACCUCAGUUGUGCCGUAGCUAACGCGAUAAGUACACCGCCUGGGGAGUACGCUCGCAAGGGUG